AAGGGACUACGUUUACGUCCUGGACUAUGUGUCUACGGGCCCAGAGAGGAGACAGUGGGUGAGGCCUGUCCCUUCUAAAGCACCCUGUGUCCAGGGCAGAACUAGGUCAACAGAGACCGCUGGUUGAGAUGAAUGACUGUUCCUGCCCUGCGUUGAGCCGGUUGAACACACUUGGCCAGCGCUUAAUCCAGUGGGAUCUGCACAAGCUGGGGCACAGUACGGCGACUAGAUCACUCCUAUCAUCAUGAAUGAGCAACGCAUCCAACAGUAGAAGAAGCUUUGACUGCUUUAUUACCAAACUAACUAGCAGCCAGGACAGCAAAUACAGUAAAUCUCUGGCACAAACUUUACAGAGGGAUUUUGGCAAUGGAUUAUCUGUGAGAUCGUGGUGAUUGCUCACACCACAAAGAGUACAUAUGGAAAUCUUUGGUCAUUCUGACCGACUGAGUUCACAAAGAUACUCAUCUGAGUGGUUUUGUCUGUAUCUUUGCUACAUGAGACAUUGUCUGAAUCUGAUUCAUGUAAAACCUGCUGACCUCUGCUUCACAUGCUUUCCUUGUGUGUCCUCCUCUGGCGUGUGCCUAGGUCAUUUGCAUUCAGCCAAUAACCUUCAAUUUAUCAUAGUAUGAACACGUGUGCUCUCUCACACAGGCACACAUGGACGGCUUGAGGCAGACCAUCCAUUCUCAUUAGUACCCUGUUGCAGUCGGCUGACGGUAAACUGAGUGUGUGCCAAAGUCAUAAACUUACACACCCCCUCCCGCCAUUACCUCAUGAUUAUGAUAUCACACAAGUGUCUCAUAGUGAUGACAUCACACCACCAGAUUUGCGGUCUGGCCAAGUGUAAGUACAUUACACUUGGCCAGUUCAUGCCAAGACCCUUAUCCCUGAUAAGCCAAGGACAAAAUGUAGACUGUGAGACUGGGGUCCAGUCUGGAGGGUAAUUACCAAUUUUACUAUUGAGAUGAAAGCAUCUGGUUGAGCUAUU